UACAGAGACUGCAAGCGUUAUUCGGAUUCACUGGGCGUAAAGGGCGCGUAGGCGGCCUGAUAAGUAGGGGGUGAAAUCCUGCGGCUUAACCGCAGGGCUGCCUUCUAAACUGUCGGGCUUGAGCACAGUAGAGGCAGGUGGAAUUCCCGGUGUAGCGGUGGAAUGCGUAGAGAUCGGGAAGAACAUCAGUGGCGAAGGCGGCCUGCUGGGCUGUUGCUGACGCUGAGGCGCGACAGCGUGGGGAGCAAACAGG
rnacentral:rRNA from 1 species